AUGGAUGAAGCAAGAGAGUUCCUGAAAAACAUCUAUUUCUGCUUUAUUGACUAUGCCAAAGCCUUUGAUUGUGUGGAUCCCAAUAAACUGUGGAAAAUUCUGAAAGAGAUGGGAAUACCAGACCACCGGACCUGCCUCUUGAGAAAUCUGUAUGCAGGUCAGGAAGCAGCAGUUAGAACUGGACAUGGAACAACAGACUGGUUCCAAAUUAGAAAAGGAGUAUGUCAAGGCUGUAUAUUGUCACCCUGCUUAUUUAACUUAUAUGCAGAGUAUAUCAUGAGAAACUCUGGACUGGAAGAAACACAAGCUGGAAUCAAGAUUGCCGGGAGAAAUAUCAAUAACCUCAGAUAUGCAGAUGACACCACCCUUAUGGCAGAAAGUGAAGAGGAACUAAAAAGCCUCUUGAUGAAAGUGAAAGAGGAGAGUGAAAAAGUUGGCUUAAAGCUCAACAUUCAGAAAACGAAGAUCAUGGCAUCCGGUCCCAUCACUUCACGGGAAAUAGAUGCAGAAACAGUGGAAACAGUGUCAGACUUUAUUUUUUUGGGCUCCAAAAUCACUGCAGAUGGUGACUGCAGCCAUGAAAUUAAAAGAUGUUUAUUCCUUAGAAGAAAAGUUAUGACCAAUCUAGAUAGCAUAUUCAAAAGCAGAGACAUUACUUUGCCAACAAAGGUCCAUCUAGUCAAGGCUGUGGUUUUCCCGGUGGUCAUGUAUGGAUGUGAGUGUUGGACUGUGAAGAAGGCUGAGCGCCAAAGAAUUGAUGCUUUUGAACUGUGGUGUUGGAGAAGACUCUCGAGAGUCCCUUGGACUGCAAGGAGAUCCAACCAGUCCAUUCUGAAGAUCAGCCCUGGGAUUUCUUUGGAGGGAAUGAUGCUAAGGCUGAAGCUCCAGUACUUUGGACACCUCAUGCGAAGAGUUGAGUCGUUGGAAAAGACUCUUAUGCUGGGAGGGAUUGGGGGCAGGAGGAGAAGGGGACGACCGAGGAUGAGAUGGCUGGAUGGCAUCAUGGACUCGAUGGACGUGAGUCUGAGUGAACUCUGGGAGUUGGUGAUGGACAGGGAGGCCUGGUGUGCUGCAAUUCAUGGGGUCGCAGAGAGUCGGACACGACUGAGCGACUGA
rnacentral:lncRNA from 1 species